GACCUUCUUCUCCAGCAAGAUCAGCUUGAAGAGAAUAAGAACCUGCAGAAAUGGGAAAAGAGAAGGACAGAAGGUGAGGAACUGUCACUUUGAGGUAAUUUCCCAUUAGAAUGACAGGGGUGUGGAGGUAAGGACUCUGUAGCAAGGUGUUCUCUUUGGUUGUGGAGUUGAACCAGAGGUGCUGCAUCCACCCUCCAAUUAAUAAAUAAUGGUUAUAAAGGUGCAUUUAAUCAAUAAGCCAGUUUAGGGCAUGUGAUGACACUAGUCCAUGCACAUUGCAGCAAAUGAAAUCAAUAGCUUGCUCCCAGGAUGAAGUUCAUAUGGUUCUAAUAACUUUACUUAUCAGUAUGGUGCAGGCUUGUCUAACCCUUCAGAGAAGGGUUAACAAAAACUGGACAGAAAAAAAAAAAA